rnacentral:rRNA from 1 species
GUGGGGAAUAUUGGACAAUGGGCGAAAGCCUGAUCCAGCCAUGCCGCGUGUGUGAAGAAGGUCUUCGGAUUGUAAAGCACUUUAAGUUGGGAGGAAGGGUAGUAACCUAAUACGUUGCUACUUUGACGUUACCGACAGAAUAAGCACCGGCUAACUUCGUGCCAGCAGCCGCGGUAAUACGAAGGGUGCAAGCGUUAAUCGGAAUUACUGGGCGUAAAGCGCGCGUAGGUGGUUUUGUAAGUUGGAGGUGAAAUCCCCGGGCUCAACCUGGGAAGUGCCUCCAAAAGUGCAUGACUAGAGUACGGUAGAGGGUAGUGGAAUUUCCUGUGUAGCGGUGAAAUGCGUAGAUAUAGGAAGGAACACCAGUGGCGAAGGCGACUACAUGGACUGAUACUGACACUGAGGUGCGAAAGCGUGGGGAGCAAACAGGAUUAGAAACCCUUGUAGUCC